CCCUUAGAUGUUCUGGGCCGCACGCGUGCUACACUGAGUGGAUCAGCGGGUCAGGUUGCGCGAAAGUGUUUCCUAAUCUUGAAAUCCGCUCGUGAUGGGGAUUGACGGUUGCAAUUUUCCGUCAUGAACGAGGAAUACCUUGUAAGCGCGGGUCAUCAUCCCGCGCUGAAUACGUCCCUGCCCUUUGUACACACCGCCCGUCGCUCCUACCGAUUGAGUGGUCCGGUGAGGCUUUGGGAUCUGAGCAAAGAGAGCGUUUCGCCCGUUUUGCCCGGAAAACUCAGUCGAACCUUAUCAUUUAGAGGAAGGAGAAGUCGUAACA
rnacentral:rRNA from 1 species